rnacentral:rRNA from 1 species
UACGUAGGUGGCAAGCGAUACUCGGAAUCACUAGGCGUAAAGCGCAGGUAGGCGGUUUGGUAAGUCUUUUGUGAAAGCUCCCGGCUCAACUGGGAGAGGUCAAGGGAAACUACCGGACUAGAGUGUGGUAGGGGAUACUGGAAUUCCUGGUGUAGCGGUGAAAUGCGUAGAUAUCAGGAGGAACACCGGUGGCGAAGGCGGGUCUCUGGGCAAUAACUGACGCUGAGGAGCGAAAGCGUGGGGAGCGAACAGG